rnacentral:rRNA from 1 species
GAUGAACGCUGGCGGCGUGCCUAAUACAUGCAAGUCGAGCGAACGGACGAGAAGCUUGCUUUUUUGAUGUUAGCGGCGGACGGGUGAGUAACACGUGGAUAACCUACCUAUAAGACUGGGAUAACUUCGGGAAACCGGAGCUAAUACCGGAUAAUAUUCUGAACCGCAUGGUUCAAAAGUGAAAGACGGUCUUGCUGUCACUUAUAGAUGGAUCCGCGCUGCAUUAGCUAGUUGGUAAGGUAACGGCUUACCAAGGCAACGAUGCAUAGCCGACCUGAGAGGGUGGUAGGCCACACUGGAACUGAGACAGGGUCCAGACUACUACGAGAGGCAGCAGUAGGGAAUGUUCGGCAAUGGGCGGAAGCCUGACAGAGCAACGCCGCGUGAGUGAUGAAGGUCUUCGGGUCGUAAUACUCUGUUAUUAGGGAAGAACAUAUGUGUAAGUAACUGUGCACAUCUUGACGGUACCUAAUUAAAAAGCCACGGCUAACUACGUG